ensembl:lncRNA
CUGGAGAUCCUUAGCGUGUGCAGGAGGCUGGGGAGGUGAAUGAGUUAGUCCUGUCUUUUAAACAAGAAAACAGCUAUGCCUGUGGGCUGAAUUUAGGUCAGACUGGAAACUAGAACUCUGAAAAUAAACUUUUCUCCCCCCGAAUGGUGCUGCAAAAGCCUUGUAUUCAGGUAAAGGCUUAUAAUUGUUUGAGCAUUGGGAGAAAAAAUUCUGCUGCUGCAAGGCAAGCCUGAUGUGUCACAGCACAGCUUGGAGAUGAGAUGUGACACUGUCUUGGAGCUUGAGGUCUGUCUGUCCGGGCCCAGGAAGAUGGAUGGCUUUGCGGUGUUGUUUGAAAGCUGCACUGACCUGCUGAGAUGAGGGAAGAAUCAGAGAAUAUCCUGAGUUGGAGGGAACCUCCCCUGACGCAGCUCCAUGCCAUUCUCUCAGGCCCUGUCGCUGUCACACAGAGCAGAGCUCAGCGCUGCCCUCCACUCCCUGUGAGGAGCUGCAGCCUCCAUGAGGCCUCCCCUCAGCUCCUCUGCUCUGGGUGAAGAAGAAGAGAAACAGGGAGAGUGAAAGCUGGGUUACAAGGUGCUUGCUAACUGAGGCUUCGUGGUCAGCAUAUAUCACUAGUGGAUGAGUCUGGCGUUUGUCAAGCCCCAGAACAUGAUGAACAACCCAUUACCACCAGAGUAAUGGAGAGGUCUGAACGUCCACAAAUGACAACCGGGAGCAAUUGAAGUAUGAUGGGGAAGGAGGAUGGGCUGCAGCUCCAG